GAACAGGUUAAGGCAAGUACCUCCAAGCCUUUGUCCUUGCAAGCUGGCCUUAGAGGCUAAGUGCACCACCUGGUGAAGAUUGCUCUUAUCCCAGCACAUACACCAAUUAUCUGGGGAUAAUGGCUUUGCUUUCCUGCUACUAUUCAUCUUGGAUUUCCUCAGGAUGCCUUCAGCCCUUCCAACCUUUGCAGCAAAUUCCCUCAUGGAACCUCUUUAGACAGGUCCUGCUUUCUUGCUUGCAUUGACCAAGAGAAAUUGAGAGGGGAGGAUUCUCUAAAGAAGAGAUACAUGUGGCUCACAGACAUAUACAGAAAUGCUCCCGUUCACUCAUCACCAGAGAAAUGCAAAUUAAAACCACAUUGAGAUUCCACCUCAUACCUGUGAGAAUGGGCUCCAUCAAUAAAAGAAGAGGAGAUAAGUGUUGGGGAGGAUGUGGAGAGAGAGGAAUUCUACUUCACUGCUAGUGGGAGCGCAAAUUGGUGCAACCAUUAAGGAGAACAGUAUGGAGAAUCAUUAAACAAAUACA